AACGAACGCUGGCGGCAUGCCUAACACAUGCAAGUCGAACGAGACCUUCGGGUCUAGUGGCGCACGGGUGCGUAACGCGUGGGAACCUGCCCUUAGGUUCGGAAUAACUCCCCGAAAGGGGUGCUAAUACCGGAUAAUGUCUUCGGACCAAAGAUUUAUCGCCUUUGGAUGGGCCCGCGUUGGAUUAGCUAGUUGGUAGGGUAAAAGCCUACCAAGGCGACGCUCCAUAGCUGGUCUGAGAGGAUGAUCAGCCACACUGGGACUGAGACACGGCCCAGACUCCUGCGGGAGGCAGCAGUGGGGAAUAUUGGACAAUGGGCGAAAGCCUGAUCCAGCAAUGCCGCGUGAGUGAUGAAGGCCUUAGGGUUGUAAAGCUCGUUUACCCGGGAUGAUAAUGACAGUACCGGGAGAAUAAGCACCGGCUAACUCCGUG
rnacentral:rRNA from 1 species